rnacentral:rRNA from 1 species
GAUGAACGCUGGCGGCGUGCCUAAUACAUGCAAGUCGAGCGAGCAGACGAGGAGCUUGCUCCUUUGACGUUAGCGGCGGACGGGUGAGUAACACGUGGAUAACCUACCUAUAAGACUGGGAUAACUUCGGGAAACCGGAGCUAAUACCGGAUAACAUGUUGAACCGCAUGGUUCAACAGUGAAAGACGGUCUUGCUGUCACUUAUAGAUGGAUCCGCGCCGCAUUAGCUAGUUGGUAAGGUAACGGCUUACCAAGGCAACGAUGCGUAGCCGACCUGAGAGGGUGAUCGGCCACACUGGAACUGAGACACGGUCCAGACUCCUACGGGAGGCAGCAGUAGGGAAUCUUCCGCAAUGGGCGAAAGCCUGACGGAGCAACGCCGCGUGAGUGAAGAAGGUCUUCGGAUCGUAAAACUCUGUUAUUAGGGAAGAACAAAUGUGUAAGUAACUAUGCACGUCUUGACGGUACCUAAUCAGAAAGCCACGGCUAACUACGUG